rnacentral:lncRNA from 1 species
AUUCGAGAUGAUGUUAGAGAGAUGACAGAGUCUAGGUUAGGGAGGGCCUGAGUCCUUGUAGACUCUGAGUAUGGUGCUGAGCAGGGAAGAGACAGGCUCUGGCUUAGGGUUUAGAAGGAACACAGGCUACUGUGAUGAGGAUUGUCUGAAGGGGAACAAAGGCCAAGAUGUUAUUUGAAGCCGUGAGACUGAGUGACAUCAUGGAGGAAGUGAAUGUAAAUAGAAAAGGGAAGAAGUCUGAAGACAGAGCCCUGAGACACUCCAUUGUAAACUGGAAGAUGAGGAAGAGCCAGCAAAGGAGACUGAGAAAGGGCAGCCAGUGAAGAUGGAGCCAGGGCUAGAGUAAGAGCCCCUCCUGGGAUGCUGUGACCCCCAAGUCUGAAGACUGCUGAUAACCCCAAUCUACAAAGACUAGCUAUAGAACUUCCUACACUGAGACAACUCCAGUGGAACUCUGAUAAUUAUCCUAAAAUAAGGAGACUUCUUCAGUAGCCCUUAAAUAUGUUCAAAUACAUGAUUACAUUUAUGUCCUUAAUAUCGCUAUUAGUUUCUGAUGUUAACGUAAAAGUUGAGGAAAAAGUGGAAAAGUUAAAGCGGUGCAGGUUAAUUCAAUGCCAGAGUAACUUCUCAGAGGGUGUAUAUUCAGUGUGAACAAUUUUCAACAGAGAGAUGUCAACGUCUGGCCACAACGGCAACCAGUAAAAUAACUACUUUUACUGUCUUAACUAUUAAUGAAGAGGAGAUUGCAUAAUAUAGAUGAAGGAGCAUAGUAUUUACAGGUGGAACACCUAGCAGGGCUUGAGUCUCAACUCUGCCCUGAGUUGAGUAAUUUGUCUUGGUCAAAUUAUCCUAAUUGACUGAGACAAGUCAUUUAAACCAAUAGCGCUUCAAUUUUCUCAUAUCUAAUGUAACAUAACAAUUCACAGCCUUUUACUUUGUAGUUACGGUGAAGAUCUAAUCACAGUGAAAUAUAUUUAUAUGUCUGUCUGCUGAUAGAA